GAUGAACGCUGGCGGCGUGCCUAAUACACGCAAGUCGAGCGAACGGACGAGAAGCUUGCUUUUCUGAUGUUAGCGGCGGACGGGUGAGAAACACGUGGAUAACCUACCUAUAAGACUGGGAUAACUUCGGGAAACCGGAGCUAAUACCGGAUAAUAUUUUGAACCGCAUGGUUCAAAAGUGAAAGACGGUCUUGCUGUCACUUAUAGAUGGAUCCGCGCUGCAUUAGCUAGUUGGUAAGGUAACGGCUUACCAAGGCAACGAUGCAUAGCCGACCUGAGAGGGUGAUCGGCCACACUGGAACUGAGACACGGUCCAGACUCCUACGGGAGGCAGCAGUAGGGAAUCUUCCGCAAUGGGCGAAAGCCUGACGGAGCAACGCCGCGUGAGUGAUGAAGGUCUUCGGAUCGUAAAACUCUGUUAUUAGGGAAGAACAUAUGUGUAAGUAACUGUGCACAUCUUGACGGUACCUAAUCAGAAAGCCACGGCUAACUACGUG
rnacentral:rRNA from 1 species